rfam:Chlorocebus sabaeus isolate 1994-021 chromosome 18, whole genome shotgun sequence.
GCCGGGCGCGGUGGCUCAAGCCUGUAAUCCCAGCACUUUGGGAGGCCGAGACAGGUGGAUCACGAGGUCAGGAGAUCGAGACCAUCCUGGCUAACACGGUGAAACCCCAUCUCUACUAAAAAAUNNNNNNNNNNAUUUUUUAGUAGAGAUGGGGUUUCACCGUGUUAGCCAGGAUGGUCUCGAUCUCCUGACCUCGUGAUCCACCUGUCUCGGC